GCUUAUUAUCCUAGGUCGGAACAAGUUGAUAGGAUCCGUAAGGGGGAAGGAUGGAACAAGCAAAGCACACUU
rnacentral:tRNA from 1 species